rnacentral:rRNA from 1 species
UGAACGCUGGCGGCGUGCCUAAUACAUGCAAGUCGAGCGAACGGACGAGAAGCUUGCUUCUCUGAUGUUAGCGGCGGACGGGUGAGUAACACGUGGAUAACCUACCUAUAAGACUGGGAUAACUUCGGGAAACCGGAGCUAAUACCGGAUAAUAUUUUGAACCGCAUGGUUCUAAAGUAAAAGACGGUCUUGCUGUCACUUAUAGAUGGAUCCGCGCUGCAUUAGCUAGUUGGUAAGGUAACGGCUUACCAAGGCAACGAUGCAUAGCCGACCUGAGAGGGUGAUCGGCCACACUGGAACUGAGACACGGUCCAGACUCCUACGGGAGGCAGCAGUAGGGAAUCUUCCGCAAUGGGCGAAAGCCUGACGGAGCAACGCCGCGUGAGUGAUGAAGGUCUUCGGAUCGUAAAACUCUGUUAUUAGGGAAGAACAUAUGUGUAAGUAACUAUGCACAUCUUGACGGUACCUAAUCAGAAAGCCACGGCUAACUACGUG